UACGUAGGGUGCAAGCGUUGUCCGGAAUUAUUGGGCGUAAAGAGCUUGUAGGCGGUUUGUCGCGUCUGCUGUGAAAUUUCGGGGCUCAACCCCGAACUUGCAGUGGGUACGGGCAGGCUAGAGUGUGGUAGGGGAGACUGGAAUUCCUGGUGUAGCGGUGAAAUGCGCAGAUAUCAGGAGGAACACCGAUGGCGAAGGCAGGUCUCUGGGCCGAUACUGACGCUGAGGAGCGAAAGCGUGGGGAGCGAACAGG
rnacentral:rRNA from 1 species